rnacentral:lncRNA from 1 species
GCUGAUAUGUGUUGUAGACAUACAUACAUGUGCUGUGAGACAUGUGUAAGGAUGCUCAUGGCUGCCAGUAGCAGCAUGUCAGAAAUUACUUACAUGCUACUAGUAGUGAAAUAUGUUUAUUAAACAUGUGCAAUUGUCCUAGAGACAGCUUUGGCCAGUAUCUCUCUUAAGCGGCUGAUGGGUGGAAAGCCCAGAGCUCUUGGUAAGCACAUUGUUUCAUUCAUCCUUGUUGCAUGUCAUCAACAAGGAGUGUGUGUGUGUGUGUGUGUGUGAAAGUCUCUGUAUGUAUGUCUGUAUGUCUGUGAUGGGCCUUAGUAAGAUAUAAACCAUCAUCUUAGAUUAUCUUAUAUUAUGUUUUAGAAUAAGGCCUAAGUUUUAUGUGUGUGUGUGUGUGUGUGUGUGUGUGUGAGAGAGAGAGAGAGAGAGAGAGAGAGAGAGAGUAUGUGUGCAUGCAUGUAGAAGCCAGAGGUUGAUGUUGGAUGCUUUAAGCAAUCACUCUCCACCUUAUUUUUAAAGACCACCUCUUACUGAACGUGGCACUUGCUGUUUUGACUAGAUCAUCUGGCCAAGAAGUUCUAGGAAUCCUCCUGUCUCUGCCUCCCAAGCUCUGGGGUUACAGGUAAGCACUGCACCCAGCUUUUAGGUCCUCAUGCAUAUGCAGCAGACUCUCACAGAGUAAGCCAUUGCCCCAGCUCUUUCACAUGUGCUAGCGUCUUUGCGACCACACAGCUAUUUCCAUUAGUCUCCACUAUGUGUUUAGUCCUUUCGUUAGGUAGCUUGUUGGUAUGUGCAGGGCUGGAGGACACUGGGCUCUAUUUCUUCCCCCACAGCCAAGAACCUGGAGCUUCAAGGAUGGAACUCCAGGACCCUGCUUACUGCUCAGAGGAGUGGAACUUGGACAUCCUAAAAGGCGUCCUGAACUGCUAGUUAGUAACCCAGCCCCGGAGCCCCACACUCUACAGAUUACUGUGCUUCUGAUGCGUUGCUGAAUCCAGGAUCUGCCUUGCUGGUCUACUGCAGAGGGCACGUGUUCUUUCUCCACAUGUGUUUCAGCUGACUGAUACGCCUGUGCUAACCCAGCUCGGGGUCUCAGAGGGGUGGCUGCUCACAGGUCACAGUCCUUCCUGUGUCCUAUUUCCAAGCAAGGAGAGUACUGUACUUCCUAUGCCGAAUCAGGGACAUGAUACUAGACCCCCAAGUGGUGGGUCUUUAUUUAUUUUUUUAAUGCAUUCAUUUUUCGUAAUGUACUACCCGGGUCCUAUAGGGGAACGCCAUUUCUCCCUUGCAGCCCUUAGCUUCUGAUAUGCUGUGACCAGGACAUGUGACACAUUCCCUUUUGGGUUUAGUUUUGGUCUUCCUAGAACCUGUUAGGAAAGAAGCUCAUGAUGUGGCUGUAAGUCAACCUUGCCUUCACUAUGUACCGAGAAAAGUAGAAGUUGACUUCUUCUAGCCAAGGAGACUCUGGGCAAAGCAAGAUAUCUGGAACAGGAUCCUUAGGUAUUUCUUCCCAUCACUGUUGUUUCUUUGAGACAGGGUUUCUCUGAGUAGCUCUGGCUAUCCUGAAACUUGUAGAUCAGGCUGACCUGGAACUUAUAUAUCCAUCUACCUCUGCCUCCCAAGUGCUGGGAUUAAAGGUGUGGGCCUUGCCAGACACCCGCUGCUGUUCCUGAUAGGGUUGGAGUAGAAGAGGACCUCUCCAUGUGCUCUGUGCAGUUCCUCUAGCUGGGGAACUCCCUCUGGGUUCUCACUGAGUUGUUUUCCCAUACAUGGGAUGAGUUUUAUCACCAAACUUUCAAGAGAGAGAGGUUGCCUUGGCCUGGGAGGUUUUGUUUGUAAAACCUCUUUGAUAGCUGGGGGAAUGGUCAGAAGUAAAAAAACAUCCAAAUUUAUACAGUGUUACCAGAGGACUUAAAGAGAUGGAGGUACCAGCAGCAGGCAGGACUUCAUGAAAACCCCGUUGCUUGCUAAGGUGGUCAUGUGACUAUGCUCUGGCUUUGGGGUGUAUAUACAUUUGCUGUGUGGAAGCAGGAUAUAGUUGUGAAGGAAGUGCUGUAGCUAUGUUAGUGGAUCAUGAGGAUGAAACCAAGUCAUGGAGAAGGCAGAGGGUGAGCUGGGUCUCAGAGGGUCCUUAUAUCCUGUAUACUGUGUACAUACGUAGAAUGGAUGUAUAUAUAAUGCAUGAAUGUAUGUAUAUGUAAUAUAUGUAGAAAGACAUUCAUUGUAUACAUGUGUAUAUAUACAAAUAUAAAAAUUUCAUUUUGUUCUUGUUUGAUGUAUGUAUGUAUGUAUGUAUGUAUGUAUGUGUACUACAUGUGUGUAGUGCCUGUGGAGGCCAGAAGAGGGUAUUGAAUCUCUUGGAACCAGAGUUCCAGUUGGCUGUAAGCCUCCGUGGUAGGUGCCUGUGUGCUGAACCUGGUCCUCAGUAAGAGCAGCAAGUGGCCUUAACCACUGCGCCACCUUUCCAGUCCCUAUUUGAUUUUGAGACAGCACAUCCCUAUACAUUCCAGGCUGAACUUGAACUUGUCUUCCUCUUGCCUCAGCCUCUCUAGUGCUAGAAUUUCAGGCAUGUGCCACCAUGCCCAGCAGGAGAGAAACAAGUUUAAUCUUGUUUCAGUGAUUGCCUUUAAGUUCUAUAAUGGUAGCUGCACUAAUCCCACCCAUCAACAGAUAACAAGCAGUAAGGACUGUUAACUGGAGGCCACAGGGUGCCAUGGCCACAAACAGUGUGGAGCUGUCUCAGUCCUCCCUCACCCGAUUUUUUGAGAGCAGCAAUUGGAUGAACUCUUUUUAGACGCCAUAUUUGAUAUUUGAAUAUCUUUAGAAAUAGC